rnacentral:rRNA from 1 species
AGACUGUACGAGAUAAGUUGGACAGUCAAAAGGGAAAGAGCCCAGACCGCCGGCUAAGGUCCCAAAGUGGGUGUUAAGUGGAAAAGGAUGUGGGAUCUCUAAGACAACCAGGAUGUUGGCUCAGAAGCAGCCAUUCAUUAAAAGAGUGCGUAACAGCUCACUGGUCGAGAGGUCCUGCGCCGAAAAUGUCCGGGGCUGAAACACCACACCGAAGCCGCGGAACCCGUAAGGGUUGGUAGAGGAGCAUUCUUAGGGGAGCGAAGCAUUACCGGAAGGGGAUGUGGACUGCUAAGAAGAGAGAAUGCCGGAAUGAGUAGCGAGAGCAAGGUGAGAAUCCUUGCGGCCGAAUAUCCAAGGUUUCCAGAGUAAAGCUGAUCUGCUCUGGGUAAGUCGGGGCCUAAGGAGAGGCAGAGAUGCGUAUCCGAUGGACAGCAGGUUUAAGAUUCCUGCACCCCUUGUUAUCAGAACUGCGGGGACACGGGAAGGGAAGCAGAGCCGGGAAUGGAAAGCCCGGUGCAAGCGAAGGAGUCGCAGGGUUGGAAAAUCCGCCCUGCAUAAGACGAAGGCGUGAUGCGGAGCGAAAUGAAGUAGUGAAGCUGCGGCCCCUUCCUGUCGAGAAAAGCCGCUAUCGUGUAGCAAGGGCCCGUACCGUAAACCGACACAGGUGGAUGAGGAGAGGAUCCUAAGGCCGGCGGGAGAAGUGUUGUUAAGGAACUCGGCAAAAUGACUCCGUAACUUCGGGAGAAGGAGUGCUGCGCAAGCAGCCGCAGAGAAAUGGCCCAAGCAACUGUUUAGCAAAAACACAGGUCUAUGCGAAACCGAAAGGUGAGGUAUAUGGGCUGACGCCUGCCCGGUGCUGGAAGGUUAAGGGGAGAGGUUAGCGCAAGCGAAGCUUUGAACUUAAGCCCCAGUAAACGGCGGCCGUAACUAUAACGGUCCUAAGGUAGCGAAAUUCCUUGUCGGGUAAGUUCCGACCCGCACGAAAGGCGUAAUGAUUUGGGCACUGUCUCAACAACACACCCGGUGAAAUUGAAAUACCAGUGAAGAUGCUGGUUACCCGCGCCAGGACGGAAAGACCCCAUGGAGCUUUACUCCAGCCUGAUACUGGGAUUCGGUAUUGCAUGUACAGGAUAGGUGGGAGGCUAAGAACUCAUGGCGCCAGCCGUGAGGGAGCCGGUGUUGGGAUACCACCCCUGCAGUACUGGGUUUCUAACCUGCGCCCGUGACCCGGGCGGGGGACAAUGUCAGGCGGGGAGUUUGACUGGGGCGGUCGCCUCCGAAAGGGUAUCGGAGGCGCUCAAAGGUUCCCUCAGAAUGGUUGGAAACCAUUCGAAGAGUGCAAAGGCAGAAGGGAGCUUGACUGCGACACCGACGGGUGGAGCAGGUACGAAAGUAGGACUUAGUGAUCCGGUGGCAUAAAGUGGGAUUGCCAUCGCUCAACGGAUAAAAGCUACCCUGGGGAUAACAGGCUUAUCACUCCCAAGAGUUCACAUCGACGGAGUGGUUUGGCACCUCGAUGUCGGCUCAUCGCAUCCUGGGGCUGUAGCAGGUCCCAAGGGUUGGGCUGUUCGCCCAUUAAAGCGGUACGCGAGCUGGGUUCAGAACGUCGUGAGACAGUUCGGUCCCUAUCCGGCGCGGGCGUAGGAUAUCUGAGGGGAGCUGGCCUUAGUACGAGAGGACCGGGCUGGACGGACCACUGGUGCAUCAGCUGGAUACCAAAUCCAUAGCUGGGUAGCCAAGUCCGGAAGGGAUAAACGCUGAAGGCAUCUAAGCGUGAAGCCCCCCUCAAGAUGAGAUAUCCCUCACAUAAGUGAGUAAGAUCCCUUGA